rnacentral:tRNA from 86 species
UCGUUAGCUCAGUUGGUAGAGCAGUUGACUUUUAAUCAAUUGGUCGCAGGUUCGAAUCCUGCACGAC